rnacentral:rRNA from 1 species
GAUGAACGCUGGCGGCGUGCCUAAUACAUGCAAGUCGAGCGAACAGAUGAGGAGCUUGCUCCUCUGACGUUAGCGGCGGACGGGUGAGUAACACGUGGAUAACCUACCUAUAAGACUGGGAUAACUUCGGGAAACCGGAGCUAAUACCGGAUAAUAUAUUGAACCGCAUGGUUCAAUAGUGAAAGACGGUUUUGCUGUCACUUAUAGAUGGAUCCGCGCCGCAUUAGCUAGUUGGUAAGGUAACGGCUUACCAAGGCAACGAUGCGUAGCCGACCUGAGAGGGUGAUCGGCCACACUGGAACUGAGACACGGUCCAGACUCCUACGGGAGGCAGCAGUAGGGAAUCUUCCGCAAUGGGCGAAAGCCGACGGAGCAACGCCGCGUGAGUGAUGAAGGUCUUCGGAUCGUAAAACUCUGUUAUUAGGGAAGAACAAAUGUGUAAGUAACUAUGCACGUCUUGACGGUACCUAAUCAGAAAGCCACGGCUAACUACGUG